GCCACGCCCGCUCAGAAACUCAAAGGAAUUGACGGGGCCCGCACAAGCGAGGAGCAUGUGGUUAAUUCGAUGAUACGCGAGGAACCUUACCUGGGCUCGAACGUAAGAUGACUGUAGGUGAAAGCUUACAUCUCUUCGGAGCAUUUUACGAGGUGCUGCAUGGUUGUCGUCAGCUCGUGCCGUGAGGUGUCGGGUUAAGUCCCAUAACGAGCGCAACCCCUACCUUUAGUUGCCAUCAGGUUAAGCUGGGGACUCUAAAGGAACUGCCUACGCAAGUAGUGAGGAAGGCGGGGAUGACGUCAAAUCAGCACGGCCCUUACGUCCAGGGCUACACACGUGCUACAAUGGCCGAUACAGAGGGCAGCUACCUGGUGACAGGAUGCAAAUCUCCAAAGUCGGUCUCAGUUCGGAUCGGAGUCUGCAACCCGACUCCGUGAAGUUGGAUUCGCUAGUAAUCGCGCAUCAGCCAUGGCGCGGUGAAUACGUUCCCGGGCCUU
rnacentral:rRNA from 1 species